rnacentral:rRNA from 1 species
GGGGGAUAACCGUUGGAAACGACGGCUAAUACCGCAUAAUGUCUUAGUUCAUUACGAGCUGGGACCAAAGGUGGCCUCUACAUGUAAGCUAUCGCGUUGGGAUGGGCCCAGUUAGGAUUAGCUAGUUGGUAAGGUAAUGGCUUACCAAGGCGACGAUCCUUAGCUGGUUUGAGAGGAUGAUCAGCCACACUGGGACUGAGACACGGCCCAGACUCCUACGGGAGGCAGCAGUGGGGAAUAUUGCACAAUGGGGGAGACCCUGAUGCAGCCAUGCCGCGUGUGUGAAGAAGGCCUUCGGGUUGUAAAGCACUUUCAGCAGUGAGGAAGGUGGUGUACUUAAUAAGUGCAUGGCUUGACGUUAGCUGCAGAAGAAGCACCGGCUAACUCCGUGCCAGCAGCCGCGGUAAUACGGAGGGUGCGAGCGUUAAUCGGAAUUACUGGGCGUAAAGCGCAUGCAGGCGGUUUGUUAAGUCAGAUGUGAAAGCCCGGGGCUCAACCUCGGAACCGCAUUUGAAACUGGCAGGCUAGAGUCUUGUAGAGGGGGGUAGAAUUUCAGGUGUAGCGGUGAAAUGCGUAGAGAUCUGAAGGAAUACCAGUGGCGAAGGCGGCCCCCUGGACAAAGACUGACGCUCAGAUGCGAAAGCGUGGGUAGCAAACAGGAUUAGAUACCCUGGUAGUCCACGCCGUAAACGCUGUCUACUUGGAGGUUGAGGUUUAGACUUUGGCUUUCGGCGCUAACGCAUUAAGUAGACCGCCUGGGGAGUACGGCCGCAAGGUUAAAACUCAAAUGAAUUGACGGGGGCCCGCACAAGCGGUGGAGCAUGUGGUUUAAUUCGAUGCAACGCGAAGAACCUUACCUACUCUUGACAUCCAG